AUUCCUACUUCUUUAGAAAAGUGUGAGGAAAUUAGAAUUCAGCACUGUGUAACUAACAGCCCUCCUACUGCUCAAUUUCUAGGCAAAUCCUGCCCUUGAGCAGUGCUUGAAGUUUAACUGUUUCCUAACUCUGUAUUGUUUAGGGACAGCAUUAGCGUCUGAGGACUGACAGGUAGAACUUUCAACAGACAGAAAUAGUUAGCAACAUUUGUGAAGAAAUAUGUUAGAACUCACAGGAGCAAAGCCAGAGUACCAUGACGGAAAAACUGAGAGGCAGACAUUGUUACUGUUUGAACAUAAUACUGGAAGAAACUGGUGAUUCCAACGAAACAUUUAUUUUUAUAUCAGCUGUAAUUUUGGUGCGUAUUUACUUUUUUUUUUUUUUUUGCCUUUUUCGGGGGAAGGGGCGUGUCUAGAAGUAUCCAAAAUUCUACAUCUUCUUCUGGAAAUUGAAGCUGUAAGAUAGGAGGCAAAUGAAAGCUUUUAAGAAGUUAAAGUUUAGAAUUAGCUUAAAUCUCAUUUGCUAUUUGAAGGUCAUUCCAUGCUGUGGCUCUACAGAUAUAAAAACUUAUUCUACACAGGAUGACUUCUGAACGUCUGUGGAUGUAAAUUAGUAAUACCUGAAAUAUUGUCAGUGUGGAGACCAUCCCUGCACAUCAUCAUGAUUUCUGAAGAAGGCUUGUUGGAAAUAUUAUAAAUGGUCAAAAUCCAGCCUCACAACUUGCCUGUGAAGAAGUCUACACUCUUCUCCCAUCACUGCCAAGAACAUCGUUAAACAGAAAGCCACCUGACUGCUAGAUCAUGUUCUUUCCUAUCUUACAUCUACCAGCCUUCAGGGGCACAGACUGACUUCUAAUCCUAGCUGUAUUUUAGUAAAAGUCACCUUUAUUUACAAGUUAAUACCUGGUGUUUGGAAACAUUGCCAAAACUCUUUAAAGCAUUAAGUCAAUUCUUGAAUAUGGUGUCCAUGUAUAGUAUGGCUUCAGAGAAGAAACAAUGGAGUUGAACACAGAGCAAAAAUGCAGAUCCUCCUGAGAAUGGUGGCACACACUUGUAAUCCCUGCACCUGAGAGGGAAGGCAGGGAGAUGGUGCCAGCCUGAGCUUUAAAAGUGGGAACUUGCUUCAGAAAUGAACACAUUAAACACAUUAAAACUCACUGCUUCUUUGUUGUAGAUUUACACAAAACAAAGACACAGUGUACUUGAUGCUGUUGGAAGAGAUUUCUGUAACAGGGAGGAAAUACAGCAGUGAGAAAGCAAAAUAAUUUAAUAAUUUAAAUUUUUCAUAUAUAGUAUUUAGGGCAUAAGGAACUUCUGCAUAGAGGCAAUGAUGAUUUAAAACCUCCGCCACAAAGUCUCCCAUGGCAACAUCCAUUGCACUUAGUCCCUAGGUGUGUAUCAUCUACAUGGUCCUAGGCGUUUACUUUUAGUCCCGUAAUGAUCAUUUUCCACUAUCCGUGUAUCUAAAUCUCAACAGUAUUUCAAGUUCUGUAACUCUGAAAACUAAAACAUUUCCCAAUCAACACAGUAAACAGUGUUACUAUUCCAUAUAUAUCUACAAUCCAGUUUUGAAAUCACACUAAUAAUGUUCAUUUCUGAAAUAUCUUUCAAAGCCCUAAGUCUUAAAAGUUUGGUCCUUCACCAAUGGUAAGAGUACACAGUAGUAGAAAACUGUGUGUGUGUGUGUGUGUGUGUGUGUGUGUGUUCCAUAGAGAACACCAUUCCACUAUUUGAUUCACAAAUGUGACUGUGUGAGAUGCCGUGUGUGUGUGUGUGUGUGUGUGUGUGUGUCUGUGUGUCUGUGUGUUUGAGGAAGAGAGAGUGUGUACACAUGAGAGAGAGAACCGAAUGGGAGGUUGGGGUCACUUGACUUGUGCCUUCAAAGGAGACUUGAGGGACCUAGUUUUCCCCUCUUCUUCUCUUUGUUUGCUUUCUAGUUAUCAUGCAAUUACCAGCUUGCUUUAUGUCAUAACUAUCUACUGUGAUGUGUAUCUACAAUAUCCAAAACAACAGGACCAAAUGACAAUCACCAAAA